GCUUCCCUCCACUGGCUCCAUGUGACUCAAACAGCAAUUUCAAGGUUUUGUUGCUGACAUAUAAGGCUCUAAAUGAUCAUGAACUCAACUACCUUGCUGAACUUGGUCAGCCUUAUGUGCCUCCUCAUGUCCUUGGACGCAGACUUGCUGUGUAUCAAAUGUUAAAAAGAAGUCAGCUGGCUUCAGAGCCUUUUCUUGCCAUGCUUGUACCUUGUGGAACAGGCUGCCUGCUGACAUUCGAAAGGCAACUUUAAGAUGAUUUGUAAAACUUUUAUUUUCAAUGGCAUUAAAUUAGUUUUCAGUUCAAUUAAUAUUCAAUUAUUACAAUAAUACAGGGCCAAACCACCUCGAGGUGGCCAAACUGCCUCAAGGUGCUUCACACAAGUAAGGUCUAACCUUAGUUACCCUUUGAGCAAGCACACAGGUAACAGUUGUAAGGAAAAACUCCCUCUGCUGAUAUUGAGGAAGAAACCUCAAGUAGACAAGACUCAGAAGGUGACCCACUGCUGAGACCAUUCUGACAGUUA